rnacentral:rRNA from 1 species
AGAGUUUGAUCCUGGCUCAGGACGAACGCUGGCGGCGUGCCUAAUACAUGCAAGUAGGACGCACAGUUUAUACCGUAGCUUGCUACACCAUAGACUGUGAGUUGCGAACGGGUGAGUAACGCGUAGGUAACCUGCCUAUUAGAGGGGGAUAACUAUUGGAAACGAUAGCUAAUACCGCAUAACAGUAUGUAACACAUGUUAGAUGCUUGAAAGAUGCAAUUGCAUCGCUAGUAGAUGGACCUGCGUUGUAUUAGCUAGUAGGUAGGGUAAUGGCCUACCUAGGCGACGAUACAUAGCCGACCUGAGAGGGUGAUCGGCCACACUGGGACUGAGACACGGCCCAGACUCCUACGGGAGGCAGCAGUAGGGAAUCUUCGGCAAUGGGGGGAACCCUGACCGAGCAACGCCGCGUGAGUGAAGAAGGUUUUCGGAUCGUAAAGCUCUGUUGUUAAGGAAGAACGAGUGUGAGAAUGGAAAGUUCAUACUGUGACGGUACUUAACCAGAAAGGGACGGCUAACUACGUGCCAGCAGCCGCGGUAAUACGUAGGUCCCGAGCGUUGUCCGGAUUUAUUGGGCGUAAAGCGAGCGCAGGCGGUUAGAAAAGUCUGAAGUGAAAGGCAGUGGCUCAACCAUUGUAGGCUUUGGAAACUGUUUAACUUGAGUGCAGAAGGGGAGAGUGGAAUUCCAUGUGUAGCGGUGAAAUGCGUAGAUAUAUUGAGGAACACCGGUGGCGAAAGCGGCUCUCUGGUCUGUAACUGACGCUGAGGCUCGAAAGCGUGGGGAGCGAACAGGAUUAGAUACCCUGGUAGUCCACGCCGUAAACGAUGAGUGCUANGUGUUAAGUCCUUUCCGGGACUUAGUGCCGCAGCUAACGCAUUAAGCACUCCGCCUGGGGAGUACGACCGCAAGGUUGAAACUCAAAGGAAUUGACGGGGGCCCGCACAAGCGGUGGAGCAUGUGGUUUAAUUCGAAGCAACGC